UUGUUCACAAUGGGCGCAAGCCUGAUGACGCAACGCCGCGUGCAGGAUGAAGGCCCUCGGGUUGUAAACUGCUUUUGUACGGAACGAAAAGGCCUGAGUUAAUACCUCGGGCUCAUGACGGUACCGUAAGAAUAAGCACCGGCUAACUACGUGCCAGCAGCCGCGGUAAAACGUAGGAGACAAACGUUAUCCGGAGUUACUGGGCGUAAAGGGCGUGCAGGCGGUCUGUUAAGUCUGGCGUGAAAGCUCCCGGCUAAACCGGGAGAGGUCGUUGGAGACUGGCAGACUUGAGGACGGUAGAGGCGAGUGGAAUUCCGGGUGUAGUGGUGAAAUGCGUAGAGAUCCGGAGGAACACCAGUGGCGAAGGCGACUCGCUGGGCCGUACCUGACGCUAAGACGCGACAGCAUGGGGAGCGAAC
rnacentral:rRNA from 1 species